rnacentral:rRNA from 1 species
ACGCUUUGAGCAUUCUGCCUGGGGAGUACGGUCGCAAGAUUAAAACUCAAAGGAAUUGUCGGGGGCCCGCACAAGCGCUGGAGCACGUGGUUUAAUUUGAAGCAACGCGCAGAACCUUACCACCCUUUGACACGGCGGGACGGACGAGAGAGAUUUCGUCGUUCUCUUCGGUGACCCGCGCACAGGUGCUGCAUGGCUGUCGUCAGCUCGUGUCGUGAGAUGUUGGGUUAAGUCCCGCAACGAGCGCAACCCACGUCCUCAGUUGCCAUCAUUAGGUUGGGCACUCUGGGGAGACUGCCGGUGAUAAGCCGCGAGGAAGGUGUGGAUGACGUCAAGUCCUCAUGGCCCUUACGGGAUGGGCUACACACGUGCUACAAUGGCGGUGACAGAGGGAUGCCAAGCCGCGAGGGUGAGCCAAUCUCGAAAAACCGUCUCAGUUCGGAUUGCACUCUGCAACUCGAGUGCAUGAAGUUGGAAUCGCUAGUAAUCGUGGAUCAGCACGCCACGGUGAAUACGUUCCCGGGCCUUGUACACACCGCCCGUCACACCAUGGGAGUUGGUUCUACCCGAAGGCGCUUCGCCGACCGCAAGGGGGCAGGCGACCACGGUAGGGUCAGCGACUGGGGUG